GCAGUGGCGGUCCAGUGGUAGAAUUCUCGCCUUUCAUGUGGGAGACCCGGGUUCGACUCCUGGCCAAUGUU
rnacentral:tRNA from 1 species